UGACCAUUCCGUUCGGCAUCGGAAUGAUGUUCUUCGGCAACGUCAUCGGCGGUAUCUUCGUCGUGGUGUUCCACCUGCUGGUGGUCACC
rnacentral:tRNA from 1 species